rnacentral:rRNA from 1 species
GUGCCAGCCGCCGCGGUAAUACGGAGGGUGCAAGCGUUAAUCGGAAUUACUGGGCGUAAAGCGCACGCAGGCGGUUUGUUAAGUCAGAUGUGAAAUCCCCGGGCUCAACCUGGGAACUGCAUCCGAUACUGGCAGGCUUGAGUCUCGUAGAGGGGGGUAGAAUUCCAGGUGUAGCGGUGAAAUGCGUAGAGAUCUGGAGGAAUACCGGUGGCGAAGGCGGCCCCCUGGACGAAGACUGACGCUCAGGUGCGAAAGCGUGGGGAGCAAACAGGAUUAGAUACCCUGUAU